rnacentral:lncRNA from 1 species
AUAUUUGAUUGGUACUUAGUGCCUAAUUGUGCGUAUUAUAAUGCUUUAAUAAAGUCAAUUUCUAGGCAGAUUUAACAUGAAGCUUGUUAGCAGUUGGCUCAUAUUUUAUUAGGAGGGGUGCCGAAUGGGGACUCUUUUUUCACAAUCCUUGUCGCUACUAGUGGUUAUUCGAUUAGUCCAAUGAUUAAAAAAUGCAAUGAUUUGACAUGGAAAUUUUUUUAUAGAACUAAGGUAUUAAUGUACAUGUCUAAUAUUACAUGAUUGAUACAUUCGAUCGAGUGAAUCCAAUACUUAAUCAGAGUUAAAUUUAACUCACCAAGAAGGCAGUGCGGUCCAUGGUGCUUGACUAGCCUCCUUUCCAAACCUCCUUACUUGGCUACCAUCGUUUUCCGGAAUACAAGAGCUACCAACUAAACCUCGUUACUUGGGUAGCCUCCUUUCUUCUUCAUUGUAGAACAGUUUUCUUAGCUUCAAAUCCUUGUGCCAUUUUAUGGAAAUGUGGGAUAAUUGUCGAUAUUAACCAGGAUGAUUUGGCUGUCCAUUGAAUUGCUUGAUUUGUUCACCGUUGACUACUGGAAUGAAUUGUGGGGAAAACGUG